rnacentral:rRNA from 1 species
UACGUAGGGGGCAAGCGUUGUCCGGAUUCAUUGGGCGUAAAGAGCGUGUAGGCGGCCAGGUAGGUCGGUUGUGAAAACUGGAGGCUCAACCUUCAGAGGUCGACCGAAACCAUCUGGCUAGAGUCCGGGAGAGGAGAGUGGAAUUCCUGGUGUAGCGGUGAAAUGCGUAGAUAUCAGGAGGAACACCGGUGGUGUAGACGGCGCACUGGACCGUAACUGACGCUGAGACACGAAAGCGUGGGUAGCAAACAGG